rnacentral:rRNA from 1 species
AGUGAACGCUGGCGGUAGGCCUAACACAUGCAAGUCGAACGGCAGCACAGUAAGAGCUUGCUCUUACGGGUGGCGAGUGGCGGACGGGUGAGGAAUACAUCGGAAUCUACUUUUUCGUGGGGGAUAACGUAGGGAAACUUACGCUAAUACCGCAUACGACCUAUGGGUGAAAGCAGGGGAUCUUCGGACCUUGCGCGAUUGAAUGAGCCGAUGUCGGAUUAGCUAGUUGGCGGGGUAAAGGCCCACCAAGGCGACGAUCCGUAGCUGGUCUGAGAGGAUGAUCAGCCACACUGGAACUGAGACACGGUCCAGACUCCUACGGGAGGCAGCAGUGGGGAAUAUUGGACAAUGGGCGCAAGCCUGAUCCAGCCAUACCGCGUGGGUGAAGAAGGCCUUCGGGUUGUAAAGCCCUUUUGUUGGGAAAGAAAAGCAGCAGGUUAAUACCCCGCUGUUCUGACGGUACCCAAAGAAUAAGCACCGGCUAACUUCGUGC